GUUUCUAUUGAGAGAUAAAAGGCUGGUUGAAUGAGUUGCCUGUGAAAGCUACUUCAUCUGCAAGAAAACAGGCGGCUGCACCAGUGACUGGGUCAGUGCUCUAAAAUGAGUCUC